CGGGAGAAAGUCACCGAAAAAAAUUGCAGAAAGCGUAUGAUAUGUUGGUUCAAAAUUCUAUAUGGCGUGACGACAUCAUCUGUCGUGCUACUUUGACAGCAGUUUGGCCAAGCU
rnacentral:RNase_MRP_RNA from 12 species